rnacentral:snRNA from 1 species
GUCUGACAUGUGUGCGAGU